GCGGCAAUAGCUCAUUGGUUGAGCCCACACUUCGAGCGCGGAGACACCCGGGUUCGAUUCCCGGCUGCUUCC
rnacentral:tRNA from 1 species